CACGUAGGGGGCGAGCGUUGUCCGGAUUUAUUGGGCGUAAAGAGCUCGUAGGCGGUCUGUCGCGUCUGCUGUGAAAACUCGGGGCUUAACCCCGGGCCUGCAGUGGGUACGGGCAGACUAGAGUGCGGUAGGGGAGACUGGAAUUCCUGGUGUAGCGGUGAAAUGCGCAGAUAUCAGGAGGAACACCGGUGGCGAAGGCGGGUCUCUGGGCCGAUACUGACGCUGGAGGAGCGAAAGCGUGGGAGCGAACAGG
rnacentral:rRNA from 1 species